AUUUAUUAGAUUAGCUCACACAAUCAGAGGCUGUGAAGUCACACAGUGGCUGUCUGUGGCCUGGAGAGCCAGGGAAACUGGUAGCAGAUGCUCAGUUCAAAUAGGAAGAAGCCUUAGAAUGACAGAGAAGCCAGUGAUGCAGCCCGAAGCUGAGGCCAAAGGUCUGCAAGCUCCCAGGAGAGCCACAGGUACAAGUCCAUGUUCAAAGGCUAAGGAACCUACAGUCUGAUGUCUGCAAGUGACAGCAGCAGAAAACUGCACCUGCUGAGAAGAGUCAAACUGGAGGAAUUUCUACAGAUUCUGCAAGGGAAUUCUGAGUUCUCAUCCCAAAUCCCUAUGAUGAGCAUCCCAUCAGCUCGUGCCUGUUCUCAUGUGUUCACACUUCUCUACACCUAUGGCACCAGCAUGAGACAAUCUGCAAGCCUGAUUCAGCA